ensembl:ncRNA F01E11.12 ncRNA
CCCAUGUCUCGGCACGCGUUUUCGAUUUGUAUGUUUGGUUGAGCCUCACCAUAGAAAGAAGGAAAAAUGUAACACCAAGACAUCGAUUAAAGGACCAAAAGAAAGAGGAAGAGGAGAGGAGGAAGAAGAAAAAGGAAUGAAGAA